GUUUAGAUACCAUCGAAGAUGAACACGUUGUUGAUCAUCACUGCUUGUUUGGCCCUGGUCGGAACAGUCUGGGCGAAGGAAGGUUAUCUGGUGAACUCGUACACGGGCUGCAAAUACGAAUGCCUUAAAUUGGGAGAUAACGAUUAUUGCCUGAGGGAAUGCAGACAGCAG
rnacentral:misc_RNA from 1 species